ACGAGGCACUACGGUGCUGAAGCAACAAAUGCCCUGCUUCCAGGAAAAGCCUCUAAGCAUCAGGUAACAUCAAAUCGUACCCCAAACCGACACAGGUGGUCAGGUAGAGAAUACCAAGGCGCUUGAGAGAACUCGGGUGAAGGAACUAGGCAAAAUGGUGCCGUAACUUCGGGAGAAGGCACGCUGACACGUAGGUGAAGUGAUUUACUCAUGGAGCUGAAGUCAGUCGAAGAUACCAGCUGGCUGCAACUGUUUAUUAAAAACACAGCACUGUGCAAACACGAAAGUGGACGUAUACGGUGUGACGCCUGCCCGGUGCCGGAAGGUUAAUUGAUGGGGUCAGCGCAAGCGAAGCUCCUGAUCGAAGCCCCGGUAAACGGCGGCCGUAACUAUAACGGUCCUAAGGUAGCGAAAUUCCUUGUCGGGUAAGUUCCGACCUGCACGAAUGGCGUAAUGAUGGCCAGGCUGUCUCCACCCGAGACUCAGUGAAAUUGAACUCGCUGUGAAGAUGCAGUGUACCCGCGGCAAGACGGAAAGACCCCGUGAACCUUUACUAUAGCUUGACACUGAACAUUGAGCCUUGAUGUGUAGGAUAGGUGGGAGGCUUUGAAGUGUGGACGCCAGUCUGCAUGGAGCCGACCUUGAAAUACCACCCUUUAAUGUUUGAUGUUCUAACGUGGACCCGUAAUCCGGGUUGCGGACAGUGUCUGGUGGGUAGUUUGACUGGGGCGGUCUCCUCCUAAAGAGUAACGGAGGAGCACGAAGGUUGGCUAAUCCUGGUCGGACAUCAGGAGGUUAGUGCAAUGGCAUAAGCCAGCUUGACUGCGAGCGUGACGGCGCGAGCAGGUGCGAAAGCAGGUCAUAGUGAUCCGGUGGUUCUGAAUGGAAGGGCCAUCGCUCAACGGAUAAAAGGUACUCCGGGGAUAACAGGCUGAUACCGCCCAAGAGUUCAUAUCGACGGCGGUGUUUGGCACCUCGAUGUCGGCUCAUCACAUCCUGGGGCUGAAGUAGGUCCCAAGGGUAUGGCUGUUCGCCAUUUAAAGUGGUACGCGAGCUGGGUUUAGAACGUCGUGAGACAGUUCGGUCCCUAUCUGCCGUGGGCGCUGGAGAACUGAGGGGGGCUGCUCCUAGUACGAGAGGACCGGAGUGGACGCAUCACUGGUGUUCGGGUUGUCAUGCCAAUGGCACUGCCCGGUAGCUAAAUGCGGAAGAGAUAAGUGCUGAAAGCAUCUAAGCACGAAACUUGCCCCGAGAUGAGUUCUCCCUGAGACUUAGAGUCUCCUGAAGGAACGUUGAAGACGACGACGUUGAUAGGCCGGGUGUGUAAGCGCAGCGAUGCGUUGAGCUAACCGGUACUAAUGAACCGUGAGG
rnacentral:rRNA from 2 species